AGCGAACGCUGGCGGCAGGCCUAACACAUGCAAGUCGAACGAACCUUUCGGGGUUUUUGUCGUAUGGGUUAGUAGCACGUCGGAACGUGCCUUUAUGUUCGGAAUAACUCAGGGAAACUGGUGCUAAUACCGAAUGUGCCCUUCUGGGGAAAGAUUUAUCGUACCUAGAGCGUCAGUCGUCUGAUUAGCUAUUUGGUUGAGGUAAUGGCUGACCAAGGCGACGAUCAGUAGCUGGUCUGUGAGGAUGAUCACCAACAUUGGGACUGAGACACAGCACAAAAUCCUACGGGAGGCAGCAGUGCGGGAUCUUGCGCAAUCGGCGAAAUCAUGACGCACUUCUGAUGGUUGAAUGAUGUAGGUCUUAGGAUAGUAAUAUUCUUUCACCGAUGACGAUAAUGACGGUACCCGGAGAAGAAGCCCCGGCUAACUUCGUG
rnacentral:rRNA from 1 species